rfam:Picea glauca, whole genome shotgun sequence.
AUAUUAUCUAUCAUAUUCUUGUGGUAGUCACCUCAUAUAUAGUUACAUUAUUAACUAGUGCUUAUCGGAAUCAAAAGUUGCAAUAAAAAAAUCCAUGGAAUGUUGUAUUGCAUUUAUCUAAGCCUUCACACUAUUUGUGGAGUGAUUACUUCGUACACGUGCACAAUGAACAAUCAGUUAAGAAAAUAUUCGUUACUUAUGUUUGUUUGAAUAGAAUAAUGAACCUAAUACUUUGUUGUUAUAUUGUGAAGAAAAUAUUGGUCACUUGUGUUCGUUUGAAUAGAAUAAUGAACCUAAUAGUUUGUUGUUUAUUGGCCACCUAUGUUUGUACUAAGUGUUACAAUGUUGAAGUAACCCAUGCCAUAAUUCUAGGAAAAGUUCGAACGAUCUUUAACAAACAGGUAUUUGUACCUGAAACCGACACAGGUAGGUAGGUGGAGAAUACCUAGGGGCGAGAGACAACUCUCUUUAAGGAACUCGACAAAAUAGCCCCAUAACUUCAGGAGAAGGGGUGCCUCUUUAGGAGGUCGCAGUGACCAGGCCUAAGCAAUUGUUUACCAAAAACACAGGUCUCUGCAAAGUCGUAAGACCAUGUAUGGGGGCUGGUGCCUGCCUAGUGUCGGAAGGUUAAGGAAUUUGGUGACCUGAUGAUGGGGAAGCCAACCAUCAAAGCCUCGGUGAACGAUGACCGUAACUAUAACGGUCCUAAGGUAGCGAAAUUUCUUGAUGAGUAAGUUCUGACCCGCAUGAAAGACGUAAUGAUAUGGGCACUGUCUCGGAGAGAGACUCGGUGAAAUAGACAUGUCUGUGAAGAUGCGUACUACCUGCACCUGGACAGAAAGACCCUAUGAAGCUUUACUGUUCUCUGGGAUCCUCUUUGGGUUCUUCUUGCGCAUCUUAGGUGGAAGGCGAAGAAGGCUCCCUUCUAGGGGGGCCUGAUCCACCAGUGAGAUGCCACUCUGGAAGAGCUAUAAUUCUAACCUUGUGUCAGGACCUAUGGGCCAAGGGACAGUCUCAGGUAGACAGUUUCUAUGGGGCGUAGGCCUCCCAAAAGGUAACAGAGGCAUGCAAAGGUUUCCUUGGGCUGGACAAAAAUCGACCCUCGAGUACAAAGGCAGAAGGGAGCUUGACUGCAAGACCCACCCGUCGAGCAGGGACAUAAUUCAGCCUUAGUGAUCCGACGGUGUCGAGUGGAAGGUCCAUCGCUCAAUGGAUAAAAUUUACUCUAGGGAUAAUAGGAUGAUCUUCCCCAAUAUUUCACAUCGAUGAGAAGGUUUGGCACCUCGAUGUGGGCUCUUCGCCACCUUGGGCGGUAGUACGUUCCAAGGGUUGGGCUGUUCUCCCAUUAAAGUGGUAUGCGAGUUGGGUUCAGAAUGUCAUGAGACAGUUCGGUCCAUAUUCAGUGCGGGCAUUAGAGCAUUGAGAGGACCUUUCCCUAGUACGAUAGGACUAAGAAGGACGCACCUCUGGUGUACGAGUUAUCGUGUCCACGGUAGACGCUGGGUAUCCAAGUGUAGAGCGAAUAACUACUGAAAACAUAUAAGUAGGAAGCCCACCCCAAGAUGAGUGCUCUCCUAUUCUUACUUCCCUGAGAGCCCUAGUCGCGAACACGAUUGGGACAAUGACGAGUUCUCUGUCCUUGCAGGGGAUGGAGCGACAAAGUAUUGAGAAUCCAAGAUAAGGUCACGACGAGACGAGUCAUUUAUCAUUACGAUAGGUGUCAAGUGGAAGUGCGGUGAUGUAUGCAACUGAGGCAUCCUAACAGACCGAGAGAUUUGAACCU